CGGGGUGAGUAAUGUCUGGGAAACUGCCUGAUGGAGGGGGAUAACUGCUGGAAACGGUAUCUAAUACCGCAUAACGUCGCAAGACCAAAGAGGGGGACCUUCGGGCCUCUUGCCAUCGGAUGUGCCCAGAUGGGAUUAGCUAGUAGGUGGGGUAACGGCUCACCUAGGCGACGAUCCCUAGCUGGUCUGAGAGGAUGACCAGCCACACUGGAACUGAGACACGGUCCAG
rnacentral:rRNA from 1 species